GACAGAGGGUGCAAACGUUGUUCGGAAUUACUGGGCGUAAAGCGAGUGUAGGCGGUUUUGUAAGUCGGGUGUGAAAGCCCUGGGCUCAACCCAGGAAGUGCACUCGAAACUGCAAGGCUAGAGUAUCGGAGAGGUUGGUGGAAUUCUCGGUGUAGAGGUGAAAUUCGUAGAUAUCAGGAAGAACACCCGUGGCUAAGGCGGUUCUCUAGUACGGUACUGACGCUGAGACGCGAAAGCGUGGGGAGCGAACAGG
rnacentral:rRNA from 1 species